CAGGGUAUCUGGAUACAGGUUGGUG
rnacentral:piRNA from 1 species